AUAAAACAAAAGAAAAAAAAAUGUUAUCACUUAUUCACUUAUCUUCUUCCACCGAACUUUCCACCAUUUUUAAGAAAAAUAAAAGCUUCAAUUCCGCAAGGUUCGGCUAAGCCAAUUCCCAUCCAUGGUAAGUUUUUUUAAUGAUUUUUAUGUUUUUAAAGUCGUUUUAGCUUAAUCUAGCUAACCCGGGGGUCAAUUCGUAAAAAUAUUAAAAUUUUAGGGACUUACCAUGAAUGGUUUAAGUGUGUUUGUGAAUUUAAUUGAUAUAUUAUUAAGCUUGGUUGUUAAAUAGACAUAUUUUGUUAAGUAAUUUUUGAUGAUUUUAAGGUUUAGGGACUUAUUUAUGAAAAUUGUAAAAUUCAAGAGAAAAUAUUAUAAAUUUUUGAUAAAUAUGGGCUUUUAUAAGAUUAAUUAAAAAUUGGAUAGCAUGAUUUAUGGUUAAAAAUGGUGAAAUUGAAAGUUUAGGGACUAAAUUGAAUAAAAAGUAAACUUUAAGGAUAAUUUUAUAAAUUUCCAUUAUUAAGGGUUAUAAGCUAAAUUGAUUAUUUUAAAUGCUGAAACGAGAUUAAUUGAAUAAAAAUAUUUAUCUAGAUCAAGAAACAACUUGAAAAGACAUAAAUUGCGAAAAUGUCAAAGUAUAGGAAUAAUGGUCGAUUCUUGUUAGAAGUCAUUUAUGAGUUUAGGUAAGAUCGUAACUUGGUUAAUUCAAUUAAUUACUAUUUCGACAAAUUAUAUUCUAUUUGUGUAUAUAUGUGAAUCAAAUUUGUCAGCUUGAAGGAAACAAAUAAGGCCAUGGUUGAAAGACACUAUAGCAACUCGACGUAAAAAUGUACAAAACCAUGGUUGGACCAUGACAAUGUUUACGUAAGACCAUAGCAAGGCUAUGGCAGCUGUUCAGACAUAAGACCAUGGUUAGGCCAUGUCAGUGUAUAUAUAUAUACAAGACCAUAGCUAGGCUAUGGCAUUCUGAUGAUAAUACCAUAAUCGAGUUUUGACACUAUGAACGUAAGACCAUGGCAAGGCCAUGGCAAUACACAUGUAAGACCAUAGUUGGAUUAUGGCGUUUCAAUCAUUUUUACAAUGUUCAUCGAAUGGAAACAAAUGAGGAUCUAAAUGUGAUGUGUAAAACGGUAAACAAAUCGUAAUAGUAUAUAUGUGUAGAAGAGGUAAAUGUUGUAUUAUCAUAAUAUGUUAAGAAGAUUAUGCAUUAUGAUAGUAAGAAACUUAAAUGUUAUGAAAUGCGAGGAAGUUGAUAAGAAUAAGAAAGGGAUUAAUAUUCACAAUGUGGGAUUUGUGAUAUAUUUUGAUAGAUGAAUGUUUAAACUAGUAUAGUUUGAAAUGAAUAUUAUGCCUUGGUGUGAUUAUAUGUUUCAUUUGUCUAUAAAUAUGUUAACUAAUGAUGUUUGUGGUGUUUAAAGAAUUAAAUGGUUAUAUAAGUAUUUUCCAAGUAUUUGAUGUUAUUUCAUUUGAUUCAACGGAUGAUUUAAGUUUUAAUAAAUGGAUGCGUAUACGAAAGAACUGUGUUAUAGAAACAUGGAAUGGAAAAUGAUGGUAUAUGAAUAUGAAAUGAAAAUGGAACAAAUUGAGUAAAAGAUUGAGGAAUUACGUAUUGAACUUUAUAUGGGUAAGUAUCAUGCUUAAUUGAUUGGAUAUGCUUUUUAAUAGACCUACUAACCUUGUGACGUGUUGUGAAUUGGAAGGAAAAGUAUGCCUAAUUUUAAAUGAACAAUGUUUUAAUGUUUAAUCAUUUAUGUUCAGUAAGUUUAAGUUCCAAAUACAAGCUUACUAAGGUACUAGUUGCUUACGUAGUUGUUUUCUAUGUUUUGUAGGUCAUCAGAAAGCUCAAUCGGCUGGAAUUGUGUCAGAGCACAAUCACACUAUCCCUCAAUCCUUUUGGUAGCCUUUGGUUAAAUUAGUAAUGGUUAUAAAUGGCAUGUAAUAGGUUAAAAGUUAUUCAAGUGAUUUGGCUUGUUUUGAGUGGUGCCAAGCUUGUUGUGGUUAAUGAUGAUAGAUGAUGACAUGUUUUGGAAUGGUUAUUUGGUAUGGUUGGCAUAGGUUUAAAUUAAGACUUUGAGAUGGUGAAUGAGACUAAGUUGGUAUGUGAAAUGUGGUGCAUUUGAAUUGCAUAAUGGCUAGACUUAGGAUGGAUGAAUGUUUAGCAUGUUGUUGGUGUUUUGAAUGUGAUUUUAAGCAUGUCAAAGUAGUUAUAGAUGGUAUGGCUUGAAAGUUAACAAAUGGUGUUUGAAAUGGCUUGUUUUAGAGGUAAAUUAUGCUACACACGGCCUAGGACACUGGCUGUCACACGACCAACCCACACGGCCGUGUGUCUUUUAAAUUUUAAAUGCAAGUUGAACCACAUGGCAUUAUAGAGUUACAAGACUUGGCGACAUAGCCGUGUGAUCCAACUUCGAAUAGGCACACGGGCCAGCACACGAGUUAGCAUAUGGUCUACAACACGGCCGUGUGACUUUAUUUCGAAUGCACACAUGGGCAGACACAUGGGAUGGGACACAACUGUGUGUCCCUACUUCGAAUAUCCACACGAUCUAGGUAGUGUCACAUGGGCUGGCCACACGACCAUGUAACCCCUGUUUCACCACUUUUCAUGUUUUGGCUGAACUUUCUGAUUUGUUUUGAUUUGGUCCCUACAUUUUUUUAGGGUCCCGAAAGCUCGAUUUAAGGCCCAAAUAUAUAUGUUUUCUAUGAUUGAAUUAAAAUAUCGGAGUUUAUGCUUAAGUUGAAUUAUUUGUUUUGUUUUGAAUUCAAAGGUUCUGUUUUAUGUAACAACACUACGUAACCUUAAUCUAGCGACAGAGAUAGGUUUGGAGGGUAACACUUACCCUAAAGAAAUAUGUGUAUACUUCAGAUAGAGAAUAAAUCAGUCAACAAUGAGCUGUGAGAAAAAUAGGGAGACAUAGAUCUUAUCGGUAAAAUCUGUUAAUGGCUAAGAAUGACUAGGGAGUUGAAAUUUCUUUUUAAAAUUUUGUUCCUUAAAGUUUUGAAUUUUUUUAUAUGGACGUUAUGCAGAAUCUUACUAAGUCCUAUUGAACUUAUAAAUGGUUUGCCUAAUUGUAGGAUAAAAUUUUCACCCGAGAAUUGAGUGGAGGGCUGAGCCAAACUUCGUCAAUUUGAGGGAAAAAAGGGAAUGGUAGUCGUAACAUGCAUGUAGAGGGGAACUCCUAAAAGUUACGCCUCGGGGCUUUAGUCAUAGCUACGAAAUUUUAAGGGUUUAACUUCAAAUUUUUAAAUAAGUUGUAAGACAAUGACUUUUGGAAUAUGUGUAUGAUAAUUAGUUUAAUGUGUAAUCUAAAUGCUUGAGAAUGUAGUAAGAUUUGAUUCAGGAAUAUAAUUAAGGUCGUUGUGUUUU
rnacentral:lncRNA from 1 species